GUCUNUCCUCAUGGCCCUUAUGGGUAGGGCUUCACACGUCAUACAAUGGUGCGUACAGAGGGUUGCCAACCCGCGAGGGGGAGCUAAUCCCAGAAAACGCAUCGUAGUCCGGAUCGUAGUCUGCAACUCGACUACGUGAAGCUGGAAUCGCUAGUAAUCGCGGAUCAGCAUGCCGCGGUGAAUACGUUCCCGGGUCUUGUACACACCGCCCGUCACACCAUGGGAGUGGGUUUUGCCAGAAGUAGUUAGCCUAACCGCAAGGAGGGCGAUUACCACGGCAGGGUUCAUGACUGGGGUGAAGUCGUAACAAGGUAGCCCGUAUCGGAAGGUGCGGUUGGAUCNCCCCNUAA
rnacentral:rRNA from 1 species